rnacentral:rRNA from 1 species
CAGCCGUAAACGAUGCGCGUUAGGUGUAUCGACGACCACGAGUCGUCGAGGUGCCGAAGGGAAACCGUGAAACGUGCCGCCUGGGAAGUACGGUCGCAAGGCUGAAACUUAAAGGAAUUGGCGGGGGAGCACCACAACAGGUGGAGCCUGCGGUUUAAUUGGACUCAACGCCGGAAAUCUCACCGGAUAAGACUGUUACAUGAAAGCCGAGUUGAAGACUCUGCUAGAUUUUUCAGAGAGGUGGUGCAUGGCGUCAGUGACU